AUCCAAGGCCUGAUACGGGAGAGGUUUACAAAACUCCGGAAUCUUCAAAAAGUGGUCUCCAAGAAGACAAAACAGAGAGUGUUCAGGGUGAAGAAAAGCAACGACGGAAAAGGAAGAGAAACAUCAUGAAUCCAAAACAAGUAGUCUUAAUCGAGAAAGCCCUAUCGGAAGAACCCGAGAUGCAGAGAAAUCCAGCUUCCUUG
rnacentral:misc_RNA from 1 species